rnacentral:lncRNA from 1 species
GGCAGGCCAUUGUCUCUGGUUGUCAGCGCGACUCAUGGGAAGGAGUCCUCCACAAAACAUGCGUAGGCUGCUGCUCUUCUCUACUCUCUCUCUCUCAUGUGAUGUGCUCCUAUGUGAAAAUUUCUGUCAUAUUGCCAAAAUGAGUGAAAUUUUAUGUUGUUCUUUGUGUGAAAUGGAUAUGCCUGUGAUUUUCAAUACCUUGAAUAGUUCAAGUACAUAAUAAAUACAAGUACAUUCUGCAAAAACAAACAGUAGAUGCAAAAUUUUCAUUUUUGCUAAAUUAUGCAAGUGGUAAUGAUAUGUGUUUCUUUUGUGGUGAAGAUUUCGGCAGUAAACUAUGCAAAAAUUUACACAACUACUGAAGUCCAACUUGAAAACCAAUAGCAGUUCAUUAGUGCAAAGAUGCAUCAAAUAAGAAAAAGCAAACCUGACCUGGAAGCAAUUUCACAUCCGAUGGUUUAUUUCGUAGCUCAUCGUUACUAGUAUAAGCCCAUGCUUGUGUCCCCGAUCUUGUUGUUUAUUCUAUAGUUCAGUGUGUAUUAAAAUAAGUUCAAUUUGUGUUAAAUAAACAAGUUUAGCAUUAUAUAAUAUAACAAAAUCACUACAUGGGAAUUUGGCAAGUAGUUCCACGAAAAGGUUUAUGACAGUUUAGACUCAAAAAAGGCAUGGAUCCAGGAUGGGCAACAUCCAGUCGGCGCCUGAUGCCUAUCUCAUCGGUGCGGUUCCUGCAGCUGUAGCGCUUCUGCUCCACGCCACCGCUGGUCGAUGCCCCGUAUGCUGCUACUUCUCCUCUCCCUUGCUCCCUGUGCUGCAACUCCUCCCUUGCCCUCUCAUGGCGAAUACCACAGAAAAAAGGCACGAGGAUGUGCUGCCCUCAGUUCUCUCUCGACAAAUCCAGCGGUGCACGUUCUUUGGUGCAACAAGUAUUGUUGGCGGCGAUGCCUGCAUCAUGGCCCAUUGAGGAGAUGCAUUUUUUUUAUGCACAUAUAUUUCUUUAGUUUUGUGUUCUUUUGUUUGCCCCAGUUGUUCCUUCUUUUAAUGUUUCUAUGCUGUGCAAUUAUGAUCCCUUCGUGAAGUGAAAAAAGAAAAGCGAGCUAAGUACUUGUUUGGAAAGCUUGCAAGUUUGAACACAUAAACCUAAAAUAAUUUCAUUGAAAAAGAUUGGUUUUGUUAAAAAAAUGAGUUUUUGGUGGGAACAUCACUGAGGAACAUAGAACUUCUCGAAUGUUCUUUUCUCUAAAUGUAUAACUAUGGUAGAUGCAAUCAUAUGCAAUAUGUAUGUUCAUAUAGAUAUAUGGUACAACUAUCUUUUCCUACAUGCACGUCGUAGAUGGUCGGCUACUAGUCUUCUGAUAGAAGAGCCCCCAAAAACAGCCUGAAGCUAUUAUCUCUCCCUAAUGUUGAUAGAAGAGCUUCAAUUAUUUUUAGUUCAUCUUUUGUAUGCUUUUCAGUCCAUCUACUUCCCGGACACAAGUCCAAUUAGUAGAAAUUCAAAUUUGAAAAUAGCAUCCAUUUUGUUCUGGUAAUCAUCUUCAACCAAUUUUGUAUAUAUCGAACUUGCAUAUGUUGGUUAGUAGGGUAGAUCUGUGUUGUAUAAGAAGCUAGAUGUUAAUUUUCAAUUAUGCUGUGACAAUAUUUUUAGUCAUCUUGAGUCUGUUGCGUAUAUCAGUUCAGAUCCUUUUUCUUGUUGGUCUAGUGCAUGUCCCGCAAUGAGCCAGGACAGGGGAGUUGUUGGACGCUACCGUAUUUGCUAGCCGUCACGAUGUGAGCAGCUAUGCCUAUUGGUCACCGUUGGUUGUCGACCAUUCUUCUUCACCAUCGCCUGAAGGUCAACUUCUGGUACAUGGGAAUGGAACACCAGACAAAGCAAAAUUGAGUGAUCAUUGGGAUGGAACACCCACAUCCGUAACUACCACUCUCUCUGUAUUCUCAAAGAUUGACUGUGUUUGUGCUGCUACAUCUCUCUCUACUAGUUGGUGUGAUUAAAUUUAUAUUUUGAUCGUUGGAUCCUCGCUUGUUAAAUCUAGCAUGCAAAAAAGUUUAGAAAAGGAGGCCCGAACAAAUUGGGUGCACUCUACCUUUUUGUUCUUAUGUUUGGUAAACCUUGUUUAGUUUGCAUUGGAGAACUUGUACUAUUCAUGUUCCUCUCAAGCUAUAUGUUUGUAUGCCUAAAAAGAACUUCAAUCAUCCUUUUGAUGUUUCUUUAUUGUCAAAUAGAAGCUAAAUAGUCUGGACAUAUGCAUUAAUAACAUUUCUUAUGGAGCAGCACACAUAUUUAGAAAUUUAAUGUAAUUACAAACCAUGAAUUUUCAUUCCCAAAAGCCUGCAAAAAAACAUCAAUUUAUAUAUUGACAUCUGCUACCGGUCCUUUUCUUGUAUAUGUUCAGUUCGACAUAUGGUGGUUCUCCAGAUCAACAUUGUGUGCUUUUUCAAUUCAUCUUGCAGGUGAAAAAGUAGCUCCCUUUUAGUUCAAAUGGAUCCAAAAAAUGGGUGCUGCAUUACAGUUCAAGACCAUUGCAUCUACUUGCGGAUGGCUUCCAUUUUGUGCUCCAUGGGUGUUUGUUCUUAUUCCUGAAAGAAAGAAAAUAAUCUAUUGCAUGUGAUAGUUCAUCUGAUCUAUAUGAUUUUUUUACCUAUUUUGCUCCAUUUUUUUCCUUACAGAUCAUGAUCUUGAGAGGCUCGCUGUCGAGACUAAAGGGAAAUUCCAUUUUCCAAUUGUUCUUUUAGUAGUACUGUUUCAGUCCAACUUUGAUAGGAUAAUGAGGAUCAGUGAACUUCCAAUGGUUACUUCUUAUAGUUGUUCUUUGUAUUACUUCAUGGGCGAUAGGGAUAUGCACAAGUCGUUGUCGUCCACAUCGUCGCCACAAGGAAACACCAGCAUCACUGCCAGCUACACGCACAUCUUUGGCACGUAGGUUUUUGCACUAAAAAUGUAUGCACUAUUGCACUGAAAGUUGUGGCCAUUUAAUGAAAAAAUAUUUUCUAUAGAACCAGUUUCUCAAGUUGUCGCCGCGUGGACGCGUCCCACUCCAACGGCAUGGCUUAUGCUUCAGUGGCAAACAGUGGAGCCCGCUGGAGGAGUCACGGGUCAAGGACCUCCUGCUCAACAGUACAACGUCUUGUUUUGUGGCAAGUCGCUCAAGGAGCUGAGUGCAUGCCGCAGUAAGUGCAUGAGUACUAACAUUAGGAUAUGUGUGGUCCUAUAAGUACAUGAGUACUAAUUAGCAAGUUUGUUUGCUUCUGAAAGCUGAAAAUGUCAACUUGUACUGAUGCAUUCCAAAAAUGUGUUGUGUGUUUUCAGGAAAAAACAAUUGUCGGGUUUUUGGUGGCCAAAUAUUAUUGAUAUGGAGAUGGAUAACUAUGUGGAUGUGCUCCUGUUGUUUUUCUGGAAAAAAACAAGAUGCCAUGUUUUACUUUAUGAGCUUUCCAAUUUGCAUACUUUAAAGUUGCUGCUUGCUCCCACCCUUAGAUUGUGCAAUUUCAAUGGGUGUCGUCGUGCAUGUUCGGAAGUAUGCCCUUUGUGCAAAAUGUGUGAAGUUUUGUCAGUAUUUUGUAUUUUCAUUUGGCAGAGGCUUCAUGUGGUCUUAUGGAGCUUUAUAGAUGUACUGUCACUACACUUUUAAGGCCCUACAGUUCAUUAUAUCAUACAUGUGUGGUCGUUCAAUAUGUAUUACAUGAUCAAUUCUUUGAAAAGAAGAACACAAUAGUUCGAUCGAAAACAAUGAUCAGUUCGAUAGUGCUCUCUCCUGCCUAUUUUGGUUGAUGUCCAUUAAUGGACAAAAAUUGUAUGGGAAAUGUUCUAUUAUUAUUAGCAUAU